AUUGAACGCUGGCGGCAGGCCUAACACAUGCAAGUCGAGCGAGCGGCGGACGGGUGAGUAAUGUCCGGGAAACUGCCUGAUGGAGUGGGAUAACUACUGGAAACGGUAGCUAAUACCGUAUACCAUCAGAUGUGCCCAGAUGGGAUUAGCUAGUGGGUGGGGUAACGGCUCACCUAGGCGACGAUCACUAGCUGGUCUGAGAGGAUGACCAGCCACACAGGAACUGAGACACGGUCCAGACUCCUACGGGAGGCAGCAGUGGGGAAUAUUGCACAAUGGACGCGGAGCUGAUGCAGCCAUGCCGCGUAUGUGAAGAAGGCCUUCGGAUUGUAACGGACUUUCAGCGGGGAGGCGUUACCCGCAGAAGAAGCACCGGCUAACUCCGUGCCAGCAGCCGCGGUAAUAC
rnacentral:rRNA from 1 species